AUAGUACACUGUUUUCAUUCCUUCGGAAGUUACCAGAAUUCUUAGAAACAAUAGCAACAUGUACUAAUGAGAAAAACGUAUAUAUACGUUCUAAAGUAUACAUGUCUUGCACAUUUCACCCUAACGAAACAGUUAGACUAAGUAAGCAUAGAUGCAUAUAGCAACUUUCAAAGAAACCAAAGAUAAGAAAACAAAUGACUGAAAUAUUUUUGAAUAUCUUAACACGGUAUUAACAAAAAUUUUGGUAUA
rnacentral:lncRNA from 1 species